UGAGGGUUGGUCUAGUGGCAAGACGACGGGUUCUGGCCCCGUUAACCCAGGUUCGAAUCCUGGACCCUCAGCCA
rnacentral:tRNA from 2 species